GACAGAGGGUGCAAACGUUGUUCGGAAUUACUGGGCGUAAAGCGAGUGUAGGCGGUGUGGUAAGUCGGAUGUGAAAGCCCCCGGGCUCAACCCGGGAAGUUGCACUCGAUACUGCCACGCUAGAGUAUCGGAGAGGUUGGUGGAAUUCUCGGUGUAGAGGUAGAAAUUCGUAGAUAUCGAGAGGAACACCGGUGGCGAAGGCGGCCAACUGAACGAAUACUGACGCUGAGACUCGAAAGCGUGGGGAGCAAACAGG
rnacentral:rRNA from 1 species